GAGACGGCGUGCUAUACAUGCAGUCGAGCGCGGGAAGCGAGCUGAAGCCCUUCGGGGUGGACGCUCGUGGAACGAGCGGCGGACGGGUGAGUAACACGUGGGCAACCUACCUGUAAGACCGGAAUAACCCCGGGAAACCGGGGCUAAUGCCGGGUAACCGUUCGGUUCUCCUGAACCGAACGUAAAAGGAUGGCUUCUUGCUAUCGCUUACAGAUGGGCCCGCGGCGCAUUAGCUAGUUGGUAAGGUAACGGCUUACCAAGGCGACGAUGCGUAGCCGACCUGAGAGGGUGAUCGGCCACACUGGGACUGAGACACGGCCCAGACUCCUACGGGAGGCAGCAGUAGGGAAUCUUCCGCAAUGGACGAAAGUCUGACGGAGCAACGCCGCGUGAACGAUGAAGGCUUUCGGGUCGUAAAGUUCUGUUGUGAGGGAAGAACAAGGAUCGUGCGAAUAGAACGGUCCCUUGACGGUACCUCACGAGGAAGCCCCGGCUAACUACGUGCCAGCAGCCGCGGUAAUACGUAGGGGGCAAGCGUUGUCCGGAAUUAUUGGGCGUAAAGCGCACGCAGGCGGUUCCUUAAGUCUGAUGUGAAAGCCCGUGGCUCAACCACGGAGGGCCAUUGGAAACUGGGGAACUUGAGAACUGAAGAGGAGAGUGGAAUUCCACGUGUAGCGGUGAAAUGCGUAGAUAUGUGGAGGAACACCAGUGGCGAAGGCGACUCUCUGGUCGGUUUCUGACGCUGAGGUGCGAAAGCGUGGGUAGCAAACAGGAUUAGAUACCCUGGUAGUCCACGCCGUAAACGAUGAGUGCUAGGUGUUAGGGGGCUUCCACCCCUUAGUGCUGAAGUUAACGCAUUAAGCACUCCGCCUGGGGAGUACGGCCGCAAGGCUGAACUCAAGGAAUUGACGGGGGCCCGCACAGCGGUGAGCAUGUGGUUUAUUCGAAGCACGCGAGACCUUACCAGGUCUUGACAUCCUUGGCUACUCUAAGAAGAUAGAGGUUCCCUUCGGGACCAGUGACA
rnacentral:rRNA from 1 species